AGGAUCAAGAAUGCUACCAUCUGAAGGCACCUCUGUGAAGCCUGGCUGAAUGUUUCACUACAGAACCUUUCUUAAAUUUUCCUCUGAGAUCUCAUAUUGCAAAGGAGCCAGUUACUUCUCCUGAUCCACCCUCGGCCCACCAGCACUUUCUGAGGAUUCCACAGUCACAGUUGUCUCUCUACAUGAAAUGGAAAUGCAAAUCUGCAAGGAGAAUAUGGAAAUGUACUCUUUUAAGCAAACGACAUGUCAGACAUCACAAUGGAAACCAAAAAGCCGUCUGCGUGGACCAGACCCAGAGCUCCACUCUGCGGAGACAACAGAUGGUUGUGGAUUCCUGAAUGACUGCAGCUGCUCAUUUCACCGGGUAGCAGUGCAGCUAGGCGAGCCCGGACGUAUCAAAUCACACAGGGCUGGCUGCGGUCUCUUCCGUGAGCGUGUUUAUUUCAGAGGUGAUUCAGAAUGUGAAAGCAGCAUUCCACUCGUGCACAUGGAGGGACCCUAAAUGUGCACACAUACGUACUUGAUGCAUCUCGCAGCAGCAGCCUCACCC
rnacentral:lncRNA from 1 species